GCUGGGCUUGGUGGUGCAUGCCUGUAAUCCCAGUGGCUCAGGAGGCUGAGGCAGGAGGAUCGCAAGUUCAAAACCAGCCUUAG
rnacentral:sRNA from 1 species